rnacentral:tRNA from 2 species
GCCGGUAUAGCUCAGUAGGUAGAGCAACUGACUUGUAAUCAGUAGGUCCCGGGUUCGAUUCCUGGUGCCGGCACCA